rnacentral:lncRNA from 1 species
AUGGAAGAAGAGGAAUAUGAGAUUCCUGAUCUCAACCUUGAUCCUGGUGUGCAAGAAGUGCUGCAAGAUGAAGGUGAUGGGAUCCCUGACCUUAACCUGGUUCCUGCUGUGCAAGGAGAAGAUGCCUUCCAAUAUGAAGAUGAAGAGCUUCCUGACAACCAAUGUUUUGGUGCUCAUGAAGAUGAACAUCCAGGCCCUGCCAUGCAAGCAGUUGAACUCUCCAAUGGCCGGAGUGCACAAGAAAUUUGUCAUCUAAACAUGGAGCCAGACGAGGAGGAUUUUGAUGUUUAUUCUCCUUAUAUGGAUGUUGUCUUUGAUGAAGAUCUUCAUACAUCAAGUGAUGAGGAAGGUAUGACAUGCAAAUGGCAUUCAUUAGUGUACUGCAAGUAUAAAAUAUAUUGCCAACUGAUAUGUAUAUAUAUAAAUAUUUUCUUUGUGCAGAUACUCAACAAGACAAUAUAAAGAGAAGGAA